ACUUCCUGCUGAUGUGUCUGACUUUGUCUUCAACACACACACACACACACACACACACACACACCCCUGAAUACCUGAGCCAGUUGUGGCCUGUGUGUGUGAGGAGGCAGGGGGACGUGUUGUGACUCGGUGUGAAUCCUCCUCAGAACAAACAGUACACACAGUACAUGAAGUACCAGAGUAUUACUACAUCAGACUGCAGCAGAAUACACACGCUGUUCAGGCCAACAGCGAGAGUACACACUCCACUUCAGCAGUCUGAAUAUCAAUAAACCAACAAACACAUACAUGUAGCAUGAUGAGCAUUAUCAGUGACAGACAGCAGAGGGAGGGCUGUGUGUGUGCGUGCGCGCGCGUGCAAGGGGAAGGGUGUGGUGUCUCAGUCCGGCAGGUUUAUACAAGCCAGCAUCUCUACAUUAUGCAUACCCCUGGGGAAAACACACACACACACACACACACACACACACACACACACACACUCUCCCUCUCUGUUUGUAAGAAGACAGGAAGUUGAACCUCAACCCAAACUGAAAUCUUUAAACACGUGUCAGUAAAGUUUCUGUGCUCAAUGUUCUGUUCUUAUUCAGCUCUGCAUCGUUGGCCAUCGGGAGCAGCCCUCUCCUGGUGUUGUGUGACUUUAUAAGGUCCAAGCCGCCCUGAGGAGCGCCGGCAGCGAACCCUUGUGACCCUGAAGACACAGCUCAUCUUUAUUCACAGGAAAGGUUGGGCAGUUGCGACCCAGGUUCUGCUAGCAUCUGGCUAAUGAAAGCCGAUUGGUCAAUGAAGAACUCACGACUGGUUACGACCGAAGAAUACGCUUUGUGGUACCUGUCCACAGAACAUCAACAACGCUCUUAGGGUGCCAACCGCCGUUAAAAGAGAAGAAGAAGAAAGCUCUUAAGGAGGACUCUGAAAGGACAUUACAAUCGAACUUUUUUAUUUGAUUAUGGUCAACUUUGGAUGUACUGAUCCUACCACACACAUACAUUGUAUUGUAAAAAUAAAUUUGAAAGUUAACUGAU